UACAGAGGUCUCAAGCGUUGUUCGGAUUUAUUGGGCGUAAAGGGUGCGUAGGUGGUAUGGUAAGUCGGAUGUGAAAUCCCGGGGCUCAACCCCGGAACUGCAUUCGAUACUGCUGAGCUAGAGUACUGGAGAGGAGAUUGGAAUUUACGGUGUAGCAGUGAAAUGCGUAGAUAUCGUAAGGAAGACCAGUGGCGAAGGCGGAUCUCUGGACAGUUACUGACACUGAGGCACGAAGGCCAGGGGAGCAAACGGG
rnacentral:rRNA from 1 species